GCCGACGUAGCUCAGGGGUAGAGCGUUUCCUUGGUAAGGAAAAGGUCGGCAGUUCAAAUCUGCUCGUUGGCU
rnacentral:tRNA from 1 species